GCGUAGGUAGUAUAAUGGUUAUUAUCUCGGUUUCCCAUCAUAUGGCCCGGUUUGAACCGGGAAUUGAACCCGGAUUUACGUAAUCUACCGAGGAACCGGGUUCGAUUCCCGGCCUACGCA
rnacentral:tRNA from 1 species